UACGAAGGGGACUAGCGUUGUUCGGAUUUACUGGGCGUAAAGCGCGCGUAGGCGGAUCGCUAAGUCAGGGGUGAAAUCCCAGGGCUUAACCCUGGAACUGCCUUUGAUACUGACGAUCUGGAGAUCGGGAGAGGUUGGUGGAAUUCCGAGUGUAGAGGUGAAAUUCGUAGAUAUUCGGAGGAACACCAGAAGCGAAGGCGGCCAACUGGCCCGAUACUGACGCUGAGGCGCGAAAGCGUGGGGAGCAAACAGG
rnacentral:rRNA from 1 species